UACGUAGGUGACCAGCGUUGUCCGGAUUUACUGGGCGUAAAGAGCUCGUAGGCGGUUUGGUAAGUCGGGUGUGAAAACUCAGGGCUCAACUCUGAGACGCCACUCGAUACUGCCCUGACUCGAGUCCGGUAGGGGAGCGUGGAAUUCCCGGUGUAGCGGUGAAAUGCGCAGAUAUCGGGAGGAACACCAGUGGCGAAGGCGGCGCUCUGGGCCGGAACUGACGCUGAGGAGCGAAAGCGUGGGUAGCAAACAGG
rnacentral:rRNA from 1 species